AAUCAACGCUGGCGGCGUGCCUCAGACAUGCAAGUCGAACGAUUAAAGCUCUCUUCGGAGAGUGUAUAGAGUGGCGCACGGGUGAGUAACACGUAAGUAAUCUACCUUCGAGUGGGGAAUACCGUCCGGAAACGGACGCUAAUACCGCAUAAUGCAGCGGCAUCGUAAGAUGACAGUUGUUAAAGAUUUUAUCGCUUGAAGAGGAGCUUGCGGCAGAUUAGCUAGUUGGUAAGGUAAUGGCUUACCAAGGCUACGAUCUGUAACCGGUCUUAGAGGACGGUCGGUCACACUGACACUGAAUAACGGGUCAGACUCCUACGGGAGGCAGCAGUCGGGAAUUUUGGGCAAUGGGCGAAAGCCUGACCCAGCAACGCCGCGUGAAGGAUGAAGUAUUUCGGUAUGUAAACUUCGAAAGAAUAGGAAGAAUAAAUGACGGUACUAUUUAUAAGGUCC
rnacentral:rRNA from 1 species